ACUCAGAUCACGGUAGAUUCCAAAGUCGAACAGACUUACAUUAGCUUCUACACCUAAUAAUAUCUCUUAAUCCAACAUCGAGGUCGCAAUCUUUUUUAUCGAUAUGAACUCUCCAAAAAANUUACGCUGUUAUCCCUAAAGUAACUUAAUUUUUUAAUCAUUAAUAAUGGAUCAAUAAUUCAUAAAUCAAUGUUAAAUCUAAUUUAAAGUUUAUUAAAUUUAAAUAUCACCCCAAUAAAAUACUAUCAUUAUUAUAAAUAAAAUUAUCUAUAUAAUUAUAAUAAAUAAAAUAUAAAGAUUUAUAGGGUCUUCUCGUCCCUUAAAAAAAUUUUAGCUUUUUUACUAAAAAAUAAAAUUCUAUAAUAUUAAUUGUAAAACAGUUAAUAUUUCGUCCGACCAUUCAUACAAGCCUUCAAUUAAAAGACUAAUGAUUAUGCUACCUUUGCACAGUUAAUAUACUGCGGCCUUUAAAUUAAUCAGUGGGCACGCAGACUUUAUCUACAAAUACAAACGACAUGUUUUCGUUAA
rnacentral:rRNA from 1 species